rnacentral:rRNA from 1 species
GGGGGGACGCAGUAGGAUAGGCGAAGCGUGCUGUUGGAGUGCACGUCCAAGCAGUGAGAUUGAGUGUUAGGCAAAUCCGGCACUCUUAAGAUUGAGCUGUGAUGGGGAGAGGAACUUGUUCCUCGAGUCGUUGAUUUCACACUGCCGAGAAAAGCCUCUAGCUAGAAUAACGGUGCCCGUACCGCAAACCGACACAGGUAGUCAAGAUGAGAAUUCUAAGGUGAGCGAGCGAACUCUCGUUAAGGAACUCGGCAAAAUGACCCCGUAACUUCGGGAGAAGGGGUGCUCUUUGAGGUUCACGCUUCGAAGAGCCGCAGUGAAUAGGCCCAAGCGACUGUUUAUCAAAAACACAGGUCUCUGCUAAACCGUAAGGUGACGUAUAGGGGCUGACGCCUGCCCGGUGCUGGAAGGUUAAGAGGAGUGGUUAGCGCAAGCGAAGCUACGAAUCGAAGCCCCAGUAAACGGCGGCCGUAACUAUAACGGUCCUAAGGUAGCGAAAUUCCUUGUCGGGUAAGUUCCGACCCGCACGAAAGGCGUAACGAUUUGGGCACUGUCUCAACGAGAGACUCGGUGAAAUCAUAGUACCGGUGAAGAUGCCGGUUACCCGCGACAGGACGGAAAGACCCCGUGGAGCUUUACUGUAGCCUGAUAUUGAAAUUCGGUACAGUUUGUACAGGAUAGGUAGGAGCCUUAGAAGCGUGAGCGCUAGCUUACGUGGAGGCAUUGGUGGGAUACUACCCUAAUUGUAUUGGAUUUCUAACCCGCAGCACUUAUCGUGCUGGGAGACAGUGUCAGGCGGGCAGUUUGACUGGGGCGGUCGCCUCCUAAAGAGUAACGGAGGCGCUCAAAGGUUCCCUCAGAAUGGUUGGAAAUCAUUCAUAGAGUGUAAAGGCAUAAGGGAGCUUGACUGCGAGACCUACAAGUCGAGCAGGGUCGAAAGACGGACUUAGUGAUCCGGUGGUUCCGCAUGGAAGGGCCAUCGCUCAACGGAUAAAAGCUACCCCGGGGAUAACAGGCUUAUCUCCCCCAAGAGUUCACAUCGACGGGGAGGUUUGGCACCUCGAUGUCGGCUCAUCGCAUCCUGGGGCUGUAGUCGGUCCCAAGGGUUGGGCUGUUCGCCCAUUAAAGCGGUACGCGAGCUGGGUUCAGAACGUCGUGAGACAGUUCGGUCCCUAUCCGUCGUGGGCGUAGGAAAUUUGAGAGGAGCUGUCCUUAGUACGAGAGGACCGGGAUGGACAUACCUCUGGUGUACCAGUUGUCGUGCCAACGGCAUAGCUGGGUAGCUAUGUAUGGACGGGAUAAGUGCUGAAAGCAUCUAAGCAUGAAGCCCCCCUCGAGAUGAGAUUUCCCAACUUCGGUUAUAAGAUCCCUCAAAGAUGAUGAGGUGAAUAGGUUCGAGGUGGAAGCGUAGCGAUACGUGGAGCUGACGAAUACUAAUCGAUCGAAGACUUAAUCAA